CCUCAGGCCCCAGGGGCAGUCCCAGGAGAAGGCCGUGGCUUUGGGAAAACAGGUGAUGAAUGCUAAUGGCCUUUUUGGCAAGAAUGGAAAAGCUGAUCCUCAAAUUCAUGUGGAAUUGCAAGGGCCCUGAAUAAUCAGAACAAUCUUGAAAACAAAGAACAAGGCCAGGCACGGUGGAUCACUCUUGUCAUCCCACCACAGUGAGAGGUUGAAGUGGGAGGAUCUCUUGAGCCCAGGAGUUCGAGACCAGCCUGGGCACCAUAGGGAUACCCUCUGUCUACAAACAAAACAUUAAAAAAAAAUUAGCUGGGCAUGGCCGGGCGCAGUGGCUCAUGCCUGUAAUCCCAGCACUUUGGGAGGCCGAGGCGGGCAGAUCACGACGUCAGGAGAUCGAGACCAUCCUGGCUAACACUGUGAAACCCUGUCUCUACUAAAAAAUACAAAAAAAAUUAGGCAGGCAUGGUGGCAGACGCCUGUAGUCCCAGCUACUCGGGAGGCUGAGGCAGGAGAAUAGCGUGAACCUGGGAGGCGGAGUUUGCAGUGAGCCGAGAUCGUGCCAUUGCACUCCAGCCUGGGUAACAGAGUGAGA
rnacentral:lncRNA from 10 species